AUCUCUUACACACUCAAUGCACCCCUUACAGACACACACUGCUUUCAAUUACAUACACAGAAACACACCUUGCAUCCCUUACACACACACACACACACACACACACACAGAAACAUACAAUGCAUUCCUUACACGCAAACACACACUGCAUCCACUAUACACACACUACAUCCCUUACACAAAUUGGUAUUCCUAUACACUACAUUCUAUAAGAACAGACACACAUUGCAUCCUCUACAAUAACACAUAAAACAUCCCCUACACACAUACACUCCACUACCUGUGCGAGAACUCAUGGGUGGGCCAUGUAGGUGGAUUUAUGGGUGGGCAUUGAAGGCAUACUCACGGUCAAGCCCUGGGGGCCCAGACCUUGAGCUGUGUAAGGGGCCCCCAAAAUGGCGCUGCUUCCUGUUCUACACCAAACCUGUGGAGCCAGACUGAGCCCAUCAUCAGCCUCUUGUCCUCAUCUGGUGGUAAGUAGGCAAUCCAAUAUAUUAUUAGUGGCACUAAUCUCUAAUUUACCU